rnacentral:lncRNA from 1 species
GUGGAGCUCGAUUCGUGAUUCAAAAAUUAACUUACUGCCAAUACACGAUGGAUAUCAUCUUCAUUCUCAAACAACCAGAAUUUAAAUAAAUGCAAACUACAAUGCAUUACGAAACAAACAUCUGGUGUACAAGUCACUCCUUGUACAUCCUUUCACGAAUUUAAAACAAGAACCCACCCAUUGCAAGAACCCACAAUACAAAGUGAAGCACGAGAACUAGGGGAGUGAAGGAGCUCAAUGUCAUCAACAUAGGUGCAGAAUACAGUGGACAACACUUGAGCUCAAAAUCUUCAGGCAUAUCAGCGGAUAACAUGAGACAAUGAAACACAUUGUUUUUAGCGGAUAAACCCAUGGUGGGUUUUGACAAAUUUGGGACUGGAAAUUAGAAAGCGCCAUGAUUUACAAACAGACCUGAAUCGCAAGAGAGAUUUCACAGGAAGGCGUUCCAGUAUCUUGGUGAUGAUUCCAAUAGGAAGGUAAGGAAAUGGGAUUGAAUCGUCGCUUUCAAUUUCUUCUUCUUCGUUCGGCAUUUUGAUCCUCCGUUAACCCUAGAUCUUCGUUGUGACUAAGAUUUUUUUUCUGCGGAGUAGGAGCAUCUCCACAGUGCCGGCGUGCACAAAUGACUAUUUUAGCAAUACAGAUGUCGCCCCCAGCAAAUGGACUAAACAUAGUCCAUUGAAUUUUCCGAACGCACAAGACUUAUAAUUUUUAAUAUAUUUAGAUA